UCUUCUCUUAUAUAUUCUGAUAUAUUCAUUAUUUAUAUUCCUAUAUUGACUAUUACUACUACAACUCCUCUUCUUCUCUCUAUCUUCCUAUUUCUUAUACUACUUGUGCAAGAUAGAUUCCUGAUUUACAGAGAAGCCUUUGCUAGUUCCCCGAGAGUAAGCCUUAGGGUCGAAGCGAACUGAAUAAAGCUACCCACUUAUUGAAUGCUUGGAUCACAAUAAACAGAAUCAAGCUAUUAAGGGGGAAAUCUGGUUGCUAUCAGCCAAGCAACGGAUAGACAAGCAUACAAUCCGUUUCAAAGCACUUGUCGCCUUGGCGGUCAUGAGUAUACGCUUGCCGGAUUGAUACGAUCGAGCAGUAGGGCCAGGACGAGAUACUCCACUUGAGACUUCUCUUGCAACAACUGCUUACGGCGAACUCAACUCAACAGGCAGUACUUAGCGCUUCAGUCAAGUUAACCAAUCAUUUCCAUAUUCUCUCUUGCGCAGAAGAUCUGAUAACUCCGUUGUAAGCAGAAGUCAAACUGAUUCAAUGGGCAUUGCUUUUUCUCUUGUGGACUUCUCUUCUUGAACUAUACUUGUGGAUUCUCCGGAUCUUGAUACUGUUGCAUAUCCUAUUCCUACUUAUCUACUAUACUCUAUUAUUUCUACGGUUCCUUGUCCUUGCGCAGGAGCAAGCCAAGUUAUAGGAAAAGCAGCUAGCAAGCCAAGAAGUUAUACGAAAAGUGCUGGGCGCUAAGGAGAGUUAUCGUCGGCCAGGCCAGGGUAAUCCAAUCAAUUAGGGAAAGUCUCAUUGAAGAAAAGAAUCUGAUGACAACCAAUAGAAUAGAUUAACCUAGCCCAACAAGCGGAACUAGAAUAAGCACUAGGAAGUAAGAGAGAGCAUGAAACUAGAAUAAGCACCAGUAAGUAAGAGCAUUAAACGCGUCGUUGCUUCCUCACUCCGAACUCUUAUUAUCCCUUAUCUAAUUCUCAUUGCUUACCCCAAAACUCUCUAACGUAAGCACGAGUUCUUUAGCCUUAUUGUCUUUGCACCAGUUCUUUAGCCUUAUUGUCUUUGCUUUGCUUCCUAUAGCGCCGUUACUUGUUCUUGCGCUGGCAAACACUCACGUUAGAACUUGAGCUUCUCUUUUGGAACUUGCUUGUUCCGUAGCUUGUUGACUUCUCAUCUGUCACUCUACUGAAGUACAACUCAUCUGUCACUCUACUGAAGUACAACUCGGUUAACUUCGACUAAACCUCUAGACUAUUCCUCUAUACUUUAUCGCUACGUGGGUCUGGGUCAAUAAGCUUACGCGCAACGGCUAACUCAACUAACUCGUAUUCUUUACAAGGAAUUAGAGCGGGACAAUCAGUUUCACAAGGCUAAGCAGCGGUCGACCACUACUCGGGAAAGCCAAGUCCUUGAAGCACUAAGACAAAGGUAAAGCAAUCCAAUAACUCCACUUUCAAUUGCUGCUUCAUCUGAUCCAGCAUCCUCCAUGGAAACUGCUCUAACAGCUUACUUGAGAUUUGAUUCUUCCUCGAACCCAACAAACUAGAACUAAUUGAGACUGACGCGCUACACACCUGUUUUGUUAUGACUUUCCUGUUAGUAUACGCUUGUAACGCUCUGCUUGUUUCCUCUCUUUGUCCGUUAGUAUACGCUUGGCGCGGCAAGCAGUCCACUGAUUAUUGUAGUAUCGGUCCCUUCCUCUCCUUUCUUUAGAGUGACUUUAGACCUGCCCUAAUAGAAUGUGAGGCCUAAGGUAUCCCUACUGCUAGUAAUGAGAUGAGAGUAUUCCCUGGGGCCAAGCUUAGUUGUUAGUUGCGCUAAGGAGCGGUUGUAGCAAAGGCUCUUUCCUUGCCAUAUUUCCCUGUUUUCUCUAAUCUACGGGGAUCGCUCUAAAUAGCUUAUGUAAAGUAGAGUGAAAUCCUCCCCCGAUGCUUCCUCUUGUCCAAUGAAAGCUUCUUCUUAACCUCUUCCAACUCGGGCAAUCUGAUCAACCCCGGCGUUCCCUUAGCUUAUGUGCUUGCAGUCUUCCAUAGAGGUGUACGGGGAAGGAGGUGAAAACGAAUCACCAUUACACUAGUACCCGUAGUGCCCCACCUCGACUUAUUGACUAAGAUAUAAGGGCACCGGAACCUCUCUUCUCUCCACUUGUUCUUGCCCCCUGUAACUUGGACUCGGUAACAACUGACGCUGACGAAGACGACGAGCGGAGGGGCUUCAACUGUGUUCGUACACCUGUUUUCGUUCCUUUGUUCGUCUGCCUUCCUCAAUUCCAUUGUCAGCAACAAGUGGUUUCAGCUCUUUGGGUACGAAGUUCAGUCUAGUGCUGUGUCUUUACAAAGAAAGGGGUCUAUACCACAUGCUUGCUCUCUAUAUUCCAUUCAGUAUUAGUGGGGGAGUUGGGUCAGAAUCAAAUCUCAAGUAAUCCGUGAAGUCGACCAGAGAAUCCAAAGUAGCAUCAGUAGUUGGUCAGCAACAGGAUCAUAAUAUGGAGCAAGGAUCUUUAUAAGAAGCUAUAUCCGGAGUAGGAACAGAAGAAACUGGAUAAGAUUAAGGAGUUGGCUUACCAGAAUAAAGGCAAGAGAAGGAUCUGAAUCUAAAGCUGGAUCUGGAAGGGAAAUAUAGGCUCAAGUCAACCAGAUAUAGAGUCCACUGAAAUGGGUUCGGGCAAGUUCAAUGACUGUUUUAGCGCGAGAAGGGCCAAGCGACUACUCAAGUAAAGUUCCCCAUUCUAUUCUUUUAUAGUAGGUUGCUUUCUCUGGACCUAUGCUUACCGGUGGAGGAACGGGUCUUAUGCCUACUAGUUAGUGAUUGCACUCCCAAGUUCAAUUCUGUGGAUUGUCCCUAUCAUUCGCGCUUCAUUACCUCCGAUCCGAUACCCGAUUCUUUGACUUUGUAGCUCAACUCCCUAUUCCUUGUUCGAUUCUCCCCACUCCCAUACGUUAAUGGACUAAACUCGGAACACGGAUAAACAAGCAUGAAUCUCGGAACUAAGCCUUUCGCUAGUGCUUUCAAGACUCGAACCGGGGCUAAUGGGGCUUACCCCACAGACAAGGGAAUCUAUCUGCUGACAAACAGACCUGUCCUGGCGCUUCUCAUACUUAUACUAGAAACUGGGAAUCGAGCUAUUGCCUUUAAGACUAGAAGAGCUACUGCAUUGGAUCUAGCGUCAAACUACCUCUCCUUGUACCAACUCUGGAUUGUUAAUGAAAGAGUAUACACCUAUUACAUAUAAUACAGAUUGAAAUCAAUGAGAAGAGAAAAAGAUUGGAACACUGUCCCCAUACGCUGAAACCGCUAUUAUCAUACUUAUGGAAUCAAUAAGGGAAUCAAAUAAGAACUAAAGUAAUACAGAAAUGAACUAUAGGACAUACACAAAUAGAACUCCUAAAGUAAGGCUCGAACUCGCAACUAGCUCUCUCGGGCAUACAAGGGUCGAACAAGGGUAUACAAGAAAGGCUGCUACUACUUAUAGAAUCCAACUAGCACCAACACAAGACUUACGCCUUAACACAUCCAAUCCAACUAUCAACUGCAGAACUCAACACUGCACUGGCAAUUCCACUCAUAAGUAAAGAAUGAGAAGCUACCAAGUAAAGCUCUCACUCUCACUAAAUAAUGGGGUCAAGUAAUAGGAGACUUAAGGCAAGGUAGUUAGCCGAGUUUCCAGUAGUUCCAAUCUACAUUAUGUAAGAUCAAGUAUGAGAAGGCACAGUUCAGGCCCUAUCAGUAGUCGCUUUAGUCUAAUAGUCUGAUUGAAGAUCUUAUCAAUAGUAGUUGUAGCCUUCUUUCUUAGUACAAGUCCCUUAGUGCACUGAUCCAUUCCCAGCUCCGAGUUUAAUGUCCCUGUAAAAGGUAGAGCUGUGGUUUGCUCCAAUUACUAUAAGCAAAUACUAGAGCUGCUCCUAUUACUAGAAUCAAAUACUAGGUAAAUAACCCUGUGACUAUAAUAAACUAACUCGCUAAUAGAGUAUAAGAUAAUAUAAGAUCAUGUUUGAACAAGCCAAUCAGAAGCUAUGCAGUAUCUCGGCUCGGGGAAGAAGAUAUAUAAAGUCAUUCCGGAAUAGUAGGGCUAUUAGCAAGUUCUUAAAAUGGAGUGGAUUGGCUUUCCUGAGCCUGAUGCUUGGGUGUUACAGAACCCAAUCAGUGAGUUACAGGCUGCAGCUGGGUAGUUAGGGAAUAGAGCCAGUGCUAGGCAGGCUUCAACACGGUUAGAAGAUACAAGCUACUACUGGGUGCUCUAAGGCAUACAUACACUUACUAGUGCUAGCUCCCGAGCACAUAGAUAGUUUCAUCCCUUGUUUGAUCUGGAAUCCUUAAUAAAGAUAGAGAAAAUGAACCACUCGCCAAGUAACUACAAAUGUGUGUGACGAGUAAGAACAAACAAACAAGGGCUGGGCGCCAGAGAGAAUAAAUGAGUCCUGGAGUCUAGGGUUAAGAAAAGAAGCAAGCAAUAUAGAAGCAAUGGGUUUAGUUUACUUUCAUUAUAUGCGAGAGAACAAGCAACGUAUUAGAAUGUUGCACUCACUGAGCUCUGGGGGGCAAAUAGAUGAGUUCGGGUCUCUCUUUCUGUCCUUCUCAAGCACGUAAGCUUACUCUUAUCGGGCUGCCUAGCGGAGUUCAAUAUGUAUGCAGUGUUUAGAGAGUCUUUCUUUUGACUCAAUUCCAUACUAUGAACGCUACAUGAUUUAAGCUACGGGAAUUCACAAAAGCACAAACAAGGGCUUCUCUGUACUGAAGUAGUAAACAAGCAACGGAACAAGAAGUUUCAUGCUCCAACUACACUCACUUAAUCCAAAUAGGCUUUCUAAACAAGCACUUUAGCAGCGACUUACGCUCGCACAAGCACUUAUACUUCUGGGGAACUCUACAUUCAUCUGGAAACUAUCCUUUCCACUUUCCUUCCUGCUUCGUCGACAACAAAUCAUCUUGUUCCUGAGCCUGCUGUUGAUUCUCUUGUUGACUUGAAAGCAGUUUCUCCAGCUUAUAAAACGGAUCUUGUUCCUACCCCAACUCAAAAGUGAGAAUGGAAAUGAUAUCUUUUACCCGAGCCCUGUAAAGAAGGAUGGAAAUACCCAGCUACCGAUCCCAAUAGAGUAUUAGUAUAUGCGCUCUCAAGAAGAAAUUCCACAAUUCAUUAUUUGUUGCUCUAAGGGAAUAAAGUCUUGUAUGGAAUAGAGGGUAACGGGUCAUUAGAGAAUCAGAGGUGUGUUGGCUGAAGAAGGCUAUUCUCUAAGUAAGGGAAGGCGCCGGAUUGAAAGUGCAAACCCAUGUGAAACUCAACUUCGAGUAAAGAACUGUGGAACUAGUAUUUGAAAGAGAAGCUAGAGCGGGACAAUCACCGAACCUAGACUUUACUCACACAAGGACUCAUCCUUAAGAAGGCUAUCCAUAUAUAUAAAGUAAGGGAUAACAUUGAGAUGAAAUUCAUUAUUGGAAUUAUGGGGUUUCCUCUGCGCCGAGGACUCCUUUUGAGGCGGGCUAUCAUGUCCAGCGCUAAGUAUGGAAAGUUCCUGUUCUAGUUGUUGGCGAUGAGUCUCCUUCUUUUCUUGUUAAGUCUUAGAGAUAAUAUGCGGGAUCAGACUCUGUAUCAAGUGAAGAAACAGAAGAAUAGGGUUGUGAACUAGAGAAUAGGGUUUAGCUAGGUAUAAUAGAAGAAGGUAACUGCCCAGAAUAAGGGGUUACUAAGCCACCUAAAGAAGGUCACUCACCCACCUAACAUACUAAAGCGAGAAAGGAUCAAUUCAUGUUUUCCUUGACUCGGCACAAGAAGAUGAAGUAGAACAAGUAUAAGGUAGAUCACCAUCAGCAACAAGUGGUUUGCCAGGAAUAUUGGCGGGUCUUUGAACAGGUUGAUUCUCAAGUAGAUGAUAAGCCCGUAUCAAGCCUACCAUCUCUCUCUCAUGAAAGUGUUUCCAUACCGUCUCCGAAAGACAGAAAGAAAUAGAUUCCAUAUCCGUGUGGCCCUGGUUCCUGAUUCCACUGGUUGUAAGGCAAUAUGCUGGGUCAGAAGGAAGAGCAAGAGCAAACAUCAUCUUAUCUGGGCUCUUCUCUGGAUCUUUAUUCGGCAGCUGCCAGUAUUAGACUGCCCUUGCUUUUGUUCCCCGAACUCAAUAAGAAAGUCAAGGUGUUUAUUCCCUGUGCAAGAUAAUCCAUUAAUGUUUUCCUCAGUGCAAGAAUGAGGGUAGCCGAAAACUUGCCCAAUAAGACGCCUCAGUGCGGGUAAAGGAAGGGAUUGGUUUCAAUUCAUGUUUGACAGUUUUCCCUUGACAACUUCAUAUUUCAAGGCAAGAAAGAAACAAGUUUAGUGCACAAAAGGUAAAGUUUCAUAAUUAUAUGUUGGCAGUUCCAGUUUAGGGUCAAUUCGUUCUUCGGCGCAAAGAGAUUUGAAAGUUUCUGUUCGAGUGUCGGUAAGUAAAUCAGGUGUGAAAGUAUAAGUUGAAGUUGGAAUAGCUAGAAGAGACUCUGUUCUGAGGCGAAAAUGUAUUUAUACAGCCUUUCUGAGGUCAACAUAGGGAAUUAGCCAUAAUCAAAGUUUCCCAUAGGUUCCACUUAGAAAAAAGGGGCAACUAUUGGAUUGGGGUGCUGUGCCGCUAGAGCUCAAAGUAGUGUAGUUGGAGUUAUCAGAGAGAAAAGAGCUUCUGCGCUCGAGAGAACAAGUAGCGUCUCUUGCUACUAAGUGUGUUAGGAAGAGGGAGUUUGAAGCGUUAAGUAUUGCCCGAAACUAGUGCAUCAGUUCAAUCAGUUCAAUUAACAGUUUAAUAAGCUUUAUUGGGAUAAGCAGCUGUAGAAUAGACAAGAGAAAAAGCAGUGCCCAUUGAAUAAACAUGAUCGGGAUCGGAAGAAAAUCCUUCUCACGUGCUAAGUCAAUCAGUGUCAGAGUAUCAAGAAUAAUAAAGAGGCAAAAGUCAGCGGAACAAGAAGGAAGAACACUAUGAAAUAACCCUUACUUAAUCGACCCGACCCCUUAACGAGGCAAAACUCACCCAUAUCCGACACAAGAACAGAAAGAGACUUUUUCACAGGCAAGUAACUACUAACGACCAAGCAACUAAGCAAGACGUUGGGCGGUAGCCAUGAAUAACGAGUUAUAACGAAUUAUUACUAAGUCUUGUGUUCUAGCGGCAGGAAGUUUACCGGGAUAAAAGGUGAGGGUAGAAAGGAAAGGACCUGUAUAGGAGUGAGUGAAGUCGACAAUAGAAUCAGCAGCACGGCAAGUCAGGAUAUCAUGCAAGCGAAGCGGUCAGUUCCGUUUCAAUACGAGUGCACCCUUUUGCUCGAACACUUAUGUAAUUCCAUAAAGUCAGCUACUACGCGGGAUAAGAAUAAGAGUCUGAGGUGCCCGCUCCUUCUACUAGUUGGAAAGUUGAUGUUUCAUCGUUAAGAGAGUCUCUUUGCUUUGCGGCAGAUAUAUAAGUAGCCCACUACAAGACAAGGUUUCAAGAGGGUAAAGGCCAUGCAGGAAGGAAAGAUGUUGGCACCGAGCGGUUUGGUUCUUAACUUCAAAGAUAGGUGUGAUUGAUUGGCUUUUCCCCUGAGUUUCAUCGUAUAAAUAAGCGGGAUCCGGAAUAGAAGUAGGAUAUGGAUCUGGAUCUCAAGUGAUAUAUGAAGCUGUAUCCAUGCAAAGAGAGUAAGGAAUUCCAUAGAUAGGCCUUAAGUUGAAGCGCUUCGUGUAGUUCUUUUUUCAAGAUCAAGAUCACCAUCAGUGAAUCAAGUUUGGUGUUGGCGCCGGAUCAGACAAGGAACUUCCAGUGAUUUUCCAGAUUCCAGUCGAGUUCCAGUUCUUGUUUAGAGAGAUGCUUCUUCAGUUGAGUUUGCCGGAUCAAGACUUAGUGCUAUAAUGCUUACUUCGAGAAUAACCCUCUUUAAUCAAUAGGAAUAUAAGAUUUCUUAAUAGUAGGUAGUUUGAUCACUUUAUUGCCGAACGAUAGACUCUCGUAUAGAAUUAUUUCCCUUGUGAACUCCCGUUAGUUGAAGACAGGACAGGAAUACUAUGAAUUAUGUCGUUAGCUUACUGUUUCUCUUACGGAGGGGAGGGGUUCAGUCAAUAAAAAGCUAGCCGGGUUAGGCUACGUAAGCACGUAUAAGAGUCCAGUUUUAGGGAGCUCUUGUUGGGGGCUUAAUGGAGUCAUUUUCCAUAAUAUGAGUUGACCCCGCGACUCGAAAGAAAGGCUCCGGUCUCUUGUUAAGGGAGUUCGGAUAGCCCAUGUAAUGUAGCGGUUAAUGCUUGAUCGAGAGACUCCGCAGAUAGACUAACUGUUUGACAAGGGACAACCCCAACUAGAACAAGUGCUCUAAGGCGUAAGUGAGUGACUCAAGCAACAAGUGCUCUAAGGCGUAAGUGAGUUAUUAAAGCGCAUCAGUGGCAGUUCCAUUCUCAAGGGAUUUUGGGUAUUUCCUCAAAUCUAUACAAAGUGGCAACGUCUGCUUCUACAAGUUCCGAGUCAGGAUCAGUUUCAUCAGAGAAUGGAUCUUCAUAAGGUAAAGAACAAGUCCAAGUUGGUGCCCCAACUAGUAAGGCGGAGUUAUUAACAAGUAGGGCUUGACCACGGGCAUACCAUAGAGAAUACGGCUUGGCUACUAGGCUGCUGGCUCUGCUUCCUUCUAUAGAUAGUAAUGAGUUGGCUUCUUCUCAUGGGAUAGUAAUGAGUCGGCUUCUGAUCUGAUCUCUUGGGGGGCUCUGACUGACGCGCAACUAGACUGACGCCGAGCACAUCUUCAGUGAAACCAAGGUUCGAACUUACUACUAGCAUAACCCUUCCUUGAUCCAACUCUAACUAUGCUUGCUUUUAGUCUAACAUUCCUCGCCGUAAAACGGAUAUUACUUACUAUAGCUUUCUCGCUUGUUAGUUAUAGACUUUCACUGCUGUUUCUAAUGCUUUAUCAUACCAGCUUUUGAGCGGAAUUGCUAGUUUCUUUUUUCAACCUUAUAGGUAAGGAGCUACAUUCUUGUAUUCCCAGUCCCAUUCCAUUAGGUAGUAUAGUAAUAGUAGCCUUGGAAGCAGCAGUUCCAUCUUAUAUUCUAGUUUUUAGUUGACGAGCGAAAGUAAAGGUAAAGGUAGCAGGCCUAACCUAAUCCUCUAAUAAGCAAGAAUACUUGUAAGUAGUGCCAGCUUGAAGGCAAAGGGUAAAGGCUUAGUUCCUUUUAUAGUUCGUAGUUGCCGAACAAAGGACUUGUUUCUAACUAGAGAAGAAAGGACUUGUACUGGCUUUGAGACGAGGUCUAAUUGAACUAGCCACUCCGUUAGUGCUUCCUUGCCUGUGUCAUCUGUCUUUGUCGGGUCUGCAAGGAAAACAGUAAGCCCGCUCCUGCCGCGUAACCGGUAACUCCUGUAUUGAACAAAUAUCACUAGUUGACUUACGAGCAAUAGAUAGCGGGUUCAAAAUGCAUUUCUACAUUGGAAUUGGUCAAUAGGCGAGCAGACAAGUAAUUACUAUAAGAAAAGAAUACGAUGAAAGAGAUGAGCUUAUAUAUACACGAUGACAUUUUCAAAGAGCUAGAUGAUCUUCCUUCCUCGGGACAAGAAGUUUAGUAACCAACUUCUCUGGCUUCUGCUUUAGCCUCUUCUUCUACUCUAAGGGAUCUUUACUUCCCGAAUUAUGUAUUAGGCCUUCUCCAACCCUCGCAACUUUACUAGUCAAUUGAAUUCAACGGUAUUCUUACACCUGCACAGAGCACCGAGUUCCGGAAGGUAGAAAACUACUUCAGAGGAUUUACUGGUAUAAAACUACAGAAUCAAACCAGAAGGUAGAAAACGUACGAAUCAAACCGCAACUACUAUUAAGAAAGAGAACCUGUGUCCUGACUUAAUAUCCUCUCUGGCAACUAAUUCUAUUCUUGAGCUUGGCCCCUUCCCUUGCUUUGACAAAAGAAUCAAACUCAAAACUAUUCUGUAAUAAAGUAAUCUCACUGCUGACUUUAAGACAGUACACUGCACAACGGCACAAUAAGUUCAAUGUUCUUUCUUUUAUCACUGACUAUCCCCGAAGUUUUUUCUCACUCCGCUCCGCCACUAAGCUAAUGCGCAAGGGCCUAGUUUCUGAGACUUAUUGAAAGGAAUAACUAGUUUCUGAGACUUAUUGAAAGGAAUCAAAUAAUAGUGUGCACACACCACUUAUAGACUGAAGUAACGAACCCGCAUUGCUUGUUUUGAUAAGUGCCCCCCUAUUCUAUAAUAACGUAAAAACGGAGCAUUACUUGAAAACUCACUGGAUACUAGGCAGACGAUAGACCCUUGCUUUCACCCUAGCCUAUGAAGAUAGACCCUUGGUUGCAACCUAGCCUAUACGGAAAAGAAUCUAUCGUUCACCAAAAAUAGAAGAGAGUAACCAAACCUAUUACUAAAGACACAAACUCUCUCUCACGUUAGCGCCCCGCAACAAUGAGGAUGGGCACCCAGAUAGUCAAAGAAGAGAAUUAAAGCACCUACCCCGGAAGAUAGUAAGCUAACUGUUAACGUUAUAGUUCGGAGCUCACAACACUAAACCCCUUUCUAGGCCCAUAAAGUGAACAUCUUUCUUAUAGAAAUGAGGUAACUUCACACUGCUGACUCAACCCUUUACUUGCUUGUUCGAACGAAAGCCAUUGUUCUUGUUCUUUCUUAAUUCCACUUGCUAAGCUGUGUACUGAAUACGAGUUCCAAAAGCCCGCCAGGCCAGGGAAAAAGUGUUUUUCCGUUUGUACAGUACCCUCUUAUUUGUUUACUUGUUCCGUUGCGCGUUAGCCUAAUUAGUACAAGUCAUUAGGCAAGUGCUCAUUUUUAGCGAGGGGCUCUUUCAACUCCGAGAUGGCUGCAUCAGAGAGCUCCGACAUCGUCUUUUACUGUGGUAGGCGGUUUCAAUGGUCGUUGGCCUUCUAUCUACGUGAUGCCUGACUCUCGUCCAUGCUCAUCCGUCAGAUCAUCCGAAUCUAAGAGACAGAAAGCACCAGAUAUCUCUUCCAAUACGAUUCGUCACGUGCUAUUCAAUGACCAGGCCAAGCGUAUACUAAGUGCCAGUUCCAUUCCGUUUUUAAGGAAGAAGAGAAGCUACUGUCUGCCGGGGAGUAGUAGAACCCUAGUGUUCAGCAAGUAGUCAAUUCCAUUCUAUAGUUUCCUUUCCUUUUGAAGCGCGGUCUACUUAUUACUUUCGACUUUGUACGAGCAAGUAUUGUAGGGGAGCGGAAGACAAGCGUAUACUAAACGAGAUCGUACCUAAUGCUACUUACAUUGCAUUCUGAUAUUGAAUAGUGGAAUUCUUAGGAAGGAAACUGGAGUCUCUAUUUGCUAACAGCCAAGUCGACAACACAGAAGAAAAUAAGGUAGUGAAAGGCCAAGCAACUAAGUAAGACGGCCAAGCGUAUACUAACUACUAAAAUCGAGCUGCUACUGAUGAGAAUGAAAAUGGGGAGUCAAGAAUCAAACUCCGGAUUAAGUCCUGGGCUCCAGUUGCAUUCUUAAAUGACUUACCGCAACGAAGACAUCUCUUGACUGAAGUACUUAUAGCUUCAAAGCCUCUCUUCUUGAUACAACUACUUAUGAAACUACGAAACUACUAUGGCUACAACUACUUAUGAAACUACGAAACUACUAGUUAGCAUUACUACUCUACUACAAGGAAGGUAUUCCACUCGCCAACAACAGGCUCUGCUCUGUCAACUAUUCACUUAAUUCGGCUAAUCUCACUCUGGCAACAAUGCAUUUUACCCUGUCUCCCGCACCCACCUCUCCUAUUGCUAAAAAGACAUAUGAAACAGGACUACUCGUAUACUGGUUUGGUAUUCAACUCACACCAUUUACUUCAGGGCUAGCUUCUGUACUUGAUGACUGGAACAAGACUGGAAUUGCUAUCAGCCAAGUCACGACUAGAACUAUCACUGGGCCAACAUAACUAAACUUCCUACUUAAAGAACUCUCCGGGCCAAGCAAUCACUGGGUCGGUCAGGUCAGGACUAGAAUAGCUCUCUCCUCUUGCUACUAGCUAAUAUCUAUCCUAUCCUUUGUACUCUGGACUACUCCGACUACUCUACUGGUUGGGGAUUCCACUUCACCAAAACCCGUGUUUUUUCAUAGCAUUAGCUUUUCCCCUCCUGAGGUAUCAGAUUGAUAUUACAAUUUCACGUUUUCCCGUGUUUUUUCAUAGCAAUUAGUAUAAAGUAGUUGACUCGACCUCUGCUCAGGCUACUCAUACUGAUUCCACUGGACCAGACCUAUACUUGAAGACGAAGGAAAAGGAUCAUUUCUCUAUCUUGCCUAGCACAACUUACAAUAAGGGCCUCUGCUUGAGUUUCAUUCCUUCGAUUAAGCUUAUGGCUCUUCCUUUCUUCCCUUAGUACUGGCACUGCUCCUACUGUUUGGGAAUCAUAUUUCUAUUCUUUACCUACUGAGGAUAUCCCGAUCUCGGCACCAAUACCAGAAUUCGGUUCGGCUCCUAGGCAACUGCCAAGCGUAUACUAGAUUCAGAAGAUGGGUAAUAUUAGUUCAAUUCCAACUUUCCUACUUGAGAGACUACUUAGUUCCAUUCUGACUUGCUGAAUGAGGCUCUCCACUAGGAGCUAUAAGGGCCUCUCUACUUCCUCUUUGAACUCUGGUAUUUGAUUGAACUCCUAACUCAGUAGUAAUAGAGACAAGCUAUGUAGAAAGGUAGAAAACAGAGCUAGUGUUCGUCUUUUCCAAUAGGCUAAACUCAGUAUUUAUCGCUUCCUCGCCUCUCCUCUCCUCUUUCUUUACUACUUUAGAGUCGAGGUCGGGGUUCACUCAAAGGUUUUAGGACUUGGUGCCUACUUGUUCUGUGUUUUAAGAAUUCCGUACUUAUGAACAAUAACAGGUGAUGAAACUACAUAUGAAGGGGAUUCCACUCGGGGAAGGUUUUUCGCUCGCUACCGCCCAGAAGACAGUUAAGCUCCUUAAGCUAGUGUUCGCUCUGUAAACUAGGGAUGACUUUCUCACUGCCUCCACUGCCUCUGCAAGUACAACAUCUGCCUCUGGUAAAGCACCAAACCCAUCUAUACCUGUGACUACCUGGACUACCGGGAUGGGAUGAAACAACAAAAGUAAGCCUAUCACUUCUACUACUCGGCUCGGUGUUGCCUUAGCCUUUGAACUCUCUCUUCUUGAUCACCCUGAGCGAGGUAAAGUACCAAUUACUUGAGUUUACAGCCCAAACAAGUAGGAGCCCUGGUUGACAGCCCAAACAAGUAUACGAGUAGUUUCAUCCGUAGUAGUAGCCAGAGAAGAUCCGAUUGCGUUUUCCCGUGUUUUUUCAUAGCAACCCCGAUUUCCCUCCUAACGAGGUCCAAAAGAAUCUUAUCUUUGCGGGAACUCCUGCCGCUCUAGAUUAGGACUCCGGAAUAACGAGUUAUAAUACAUUUAUUCAUUGCUAUGGUUUUGUAGUAGUUACUUGGCCCUUUCUGAAUCGCCAAAACCUUACUUUUGAACCAGAGCAGUACUAUCGUUCUUAAGACAAACACUUGAGCAGGACUUAUAGUCAUUUUCUUCCACUCACACAUGAGCAGUAAGAGAAUGGAUUGAAUCUCUCUCCCAUUGCACAACUAGGUUAGUCUCAUAUGAGUGCAAUUCCUCCUUGCUUAACUCUUAUCCCAACUCAGUUCCAUUCUUCCCUGUUUAAAGAGCUCACCAGCCUUACACCCACUAGUGGAAUUCUGAGCCUACUUAGUGUCAUUCUUACUCUGUCUGCCACUUGUCCACUCUUGAACUCCCUCUGGCAGUCUUAGCCCCUACCUUAACAACUCUAACUCUUCACCCCCGCAUUCAAAGCCUGUAACUACCUUAGCAACUGGGGUAUUUCUACUUAAGCCUGUAACUACAGCUGCAGGGAACUGAUUAGCAGUGGUUGUAGUCUUUCACUCCUUAGUUCCCGAACACAGCACUUGGGCAUAUGAGUGUCAUUCUUUAACAAGCAUCUGGGGAUCAGUGGUAUUGGUUAAGGCUUGGAAGCACUGGUUUUAGUCUGUAACUACUGAUUGUUAGGCUUACUACCCUUACUUUCAGGCUUGGACCUCCCUGGGUUCAUCCUUUCUUCAUAGCCUUCCUUCUACUUACUAGUGUCGUCAACAAAAACCUUUCUUUCUGCUUGCUUUCGAUCGAUCAACAAAUCAUUCAUUUCUCACUCCUUCCGUACUCUCCAACGGAUCUCCUACUGCCAACUGAUAUCCGGUCUGAAACUCAGUAUUCCACUAGCAACUAUCAACUACUGGCAAAGAAUGAGAAACUGGGGAUUCAACUAGAGCACCGAACUCAUCUCCACGACAAGAAGAAUGGAAUCGAUGCUAGCAAUACCCUAACUGGAAACUGGCAAUACUGACUUUAUGGACUCGAUACUAUAACUAGAGACUUUAUGGCUACAAUACCUAUGGCAACUUGAAACUAUGAACUUCAUUCCGCUAAUCUCACUCUUUCUACUAUACCUCCUGUAAACUCAUACUGAUGAAACUACUAUACUACACCUCUGGCUCAUCUAACUAUGGUAACUCUACCGACUUAAUAGUUGGGCAACUAUCCCUCUUGCUCAUCCCAUGGCCUGUGUGCGCCUUUCCCUUAUUCUUAUUAGUUUCUCAGACCAGACCGGUAACUCUGGCUAAUAGACCCCUGUGGCUCUGUCAACUAAUCCUGUUAUGGCUCUGGACUCUGGACUACCUUACCCUCCCUUAGAGAAGUCUGAUUCUUUGCAUAAUAAGAAUGGAACUGUGGUGUUUACAAGACUUUACCUCACUAACCGGGUAUAAGGCUACUGAUAAAAGGAAUUGAGCAAGUGCUUAUAAUAACUACCUUACUAUAUGAGAAUUAGAUUACUUUGUAACGAAUGAAAACUGCGCUACUAACAAGCUACUACUACUAUAAUAAUGAAAUACAACUAGAAUAAUCCAAAAAUAGCAUAGGAAUGAUUGUUGUGGGCGCUGAGUCAUAAAUCCACUAGUAAUACUGAGUACACCUACCUCUAACUGGGCUUUAACUCAAAACAGGUAAAUCUAACUGAUUGGUAUAAGCAUACAGGAUGUAGGUACGAUCUAGUGCAUAUGGAUAUAAGUUUGCUAACCCUCGCUUCAUUCCAUAUUUCAUGUUAUUAAUUGAUUAUUAAGUUCACGUAUAGAAUAUUCUCUUCUACAUUAUUAGGGAAAUGUGGUCUCAAAAAGGCGAGUGGUUUUCUAUUCCAUUGAGAACUGUUGUUUCGGGUGUGAAGUAAACAUCACUCUAGGCAUUAGAGACAGAAGCCGGGAUCCCACUAGUGUUUCUAAAGCUUUAACCCACUAGCAAGACUACACGAUAUGCGGGCUUCACCACCUGAAAUACAGGCUUAAUCACCUAUUGAAAAGACGGAAAUGGGGGCGACCAUCAGAAUGAAACCACAAACAUAGGCUUCAACUAACCCGCAACUCAGAAUGAUAUAAUAACCCUAGCAAACCCAACUAGCAACCCAGACUUAAGGACCUACCUCGCAACCCAU
rnacentral:lncRNA from 1 species